rnacentral:lncRNA from 1 species
AACUCCUACCAAAAGCCUUAUAACGAUCCAUACUCGAAUACCUAUAACCCUGGUUGGAAGAAUCAUCCAAACUUUAGGUGGAGAAACGAUCAUCCUCAACAGUCAUACCAUUCAGCUCCUCCACCUGCACAUCCUACUUAUGCACCAUCACCUUCUCAAAAGCCAAAUAUCGAGGAUACCUUGCAAUCCAUACAAACUUUUCUACAAGGUCAAGCU